rnacentral:rRNA from 1 species
UUACGGCCUUAUCACAUUAUGACACCGGCUCCCGUACGGUCACUGAAGUUAAGCAAUGUCGAGCCUGAUCAAUGCCGAGAUGGGUGACCGCUUAAGAAUACCAGGUACUGUAAG